CAGAUUUCCGUUGGCUAACCUCCACCUUAUCUUCCUCAUUUCUGUUUCCUCUUGAAGACACCAAAGGCCCUUCAAAACACACGACCUUCUUGCUCCAGGCAAAAAGCCCAGUUACCUCUGGCCUCUGCAGUUUGGCUCAUCCUCAGGGAACCUUUGCCUCCUCUGACACCAAGGCACCACUCCAGCAACAGCUCCAGGGACUGAGCCAAGUUGCCUGUGACCAUCUAUAUAGGAAGCUCUGGAAAGCUCACCAAACACCUUCUUAACAAGUCUGCCAGGGCCACAUCUCCCAGGAAGAUCUUGCCUCCCCACUAAAGCCCUGGCCUGGCCUCCUGCAGUGCCACGCUCCGUGUAUUUGACAAGCUGAGUUGGACACUCCAUGUGGUAGAGUGUCAGUUUGUCAAAUACCCCAAGUGCGGCACAUGCCUAACAGCUCCAGACCAGGGCAGUUGGGAUACAACAAAUGAACUACCAGCUGGAUGCGAGAUCACUUGCCAAACAUGAACUAAGCUCUCACAAGUUAUCUUCAGUGACUUUGAGGGAACUGGAGCAUUGUAUCUGAGGUUGCCAGGGGAAAAGCGAGACAACUCUUGAAGCUACAGCCCUGUACUGUUUCUACAUUGUCAGAGCCUGAGGGGCACACAAUGGUCUUGGAAAGGUAUAUGGGGCUCAGGGAUGGAAGUGCUCUUUGAUUCACAUUUCCUUUCUUCACAUUCCUCUGCAGAAUCUCCCAGUAAGGACACCAGAAUUUUCACACGGGGUUCAUGACAGGGCUUAGAAACCCACCUUCCUGACAUUCAACCUUGACUUUUAAACACAUUUUGACCUUAUCUAUCUUUUUUCCUCUUCCUAAUGUCUUUUUUCCUUCUGGUAAUACUUUCUCCAUUUUUUCUGCCUAUUCAAUUAUUUCUCAUACUUCUGGUCCAGCAAAAGUCCAGUGUUUUCAAGAACUUUUGAAAGUUAACCUACACUUCUUUAUUUUUCAUAUGAACACUUCUUGCCUUGGUCCUUAUAUGUACCCCUUUCUUCUCCUAUUACCUAAUAGCACCUCUUGAACUGUUAGUAAACUUUUCCAAGGGAUAUUUUCUUAAUUCCCCACUAAAUUGUGAGAACAGCACUACGUUUACUUGAUUGCUGUCUUCCCUUUCCUUCCUUACCCCAGCAUGUAGCUCAGUACUCUGGUUACAGAAAAUAAUGAAUGUUUACUGAUAGAUUGACUUCCUACUAGACCAUUAUCCUUGGUUUUGGGUCAAAAUUCUAGCCAGGAAUUUUGUGAAAAAUAUUAAACUGUGAUCAUCAUAAUGCUAUAGGGUAUGUGAAGGUUUUUCCUCCUGAGAAAUAGAGUCAAGGGCUGGAGGAGAAAGGCAAAAAAAGUAGGCUCAGAGAGCAAAUAUGUUCUGGAAUUAUUUGGCAACUCAGUUAUACAGGUGCUUUAUUGCAGGAUUUUUCAGAGCCUUUAAUAUUCUAAUGUUGCAUUGGAAAUCACCAAUAGAGAGCUAUAGAAUGAAACAUUUAUCAUGCCAAUCUAAUCGUGGAUUUUUUUUUUCUGUAGGACAUCUUUUGGCCAAAACUUGGAAAACUUCCCUAGAGGGACCUCAUAUCUUCUCUCUCUUUUGGGAAUCUCCUUUUUUCAGUCUUCCACCUUUCCCUGACUAAACAUCUGCCUAAGACUAUUCUAUGUUACCAGCCCAUGUUUAUUUAGCCUAUCCUGCAGCUUUGGGCUAGCUCUAUACCCAGGACUCUCUUACUGGCUUGUCUUUUAUGGAAAAAAAAAGUGUUAUUUUUUGGGCAAAAUGAUAUCCAGAAGUUAUAUGCUGCAAUGAAUAUGCUUCUAGGAGUUCACAGACCUGUUUUCCAGUCUCUGUUCUGUCACUGACUUGAUGUGUGUGACUUUAGACUGUUACUGUUCCUCUCUAGGCUUUAUUUCCUCAUCUUAAUAAGGGAGAAUUAAAAUCAAUAAUCUCUAA